GAUGAACGCUGGCGGCGUGCUUAACACAUGCAAGUCGAACGGAAAGGCCGAAGCUUGCUUCGGUACUCGAGUGGCGAACGGGUGAGUAACACGUGGGUGAUCUGCCCUGUACUUCGGGAUAAGCUUGGGAAACUGGGUCUAAUACCGGAUAUGACGAUCUCUUCGAUGGGGUUGUGGAAAGCUUUUGCGGUAUGGGAUGAGCUCGCGGCCUAUCAGCUUGUUGGUGGGGUAAUGGCCUACCAAGGCGUCGACGGGUAGCCGGCCUGAGAGGGUGUACGGCCACAUUGGGACUGAGAUACGGCCCAGACUCCUACGGGAGGCAGCAGUGGGGAAUAUUGCACAAUGGGCGCAAGCCUGAUGCAGCGACGCCGCGUGGGGGAUGACGGCCUUCGGGUUGUAAACUCCUUUCGCAAUCGACGAAGCCUUUUGGUGACGGUAGGUUGAGAAGAAGCACCGGCUAACUACGUG
rnacentral:rRNA from 1 species